AGUAAUGGCGAAUGAAAAGAGAUGUGCUUAGUGUCAAAAUCAGGUUUCCCUGACUUGUAGGCUGUAAGGGCUUUGCCAACUUGGGUGCAGGUGCAAGUCUCUUGGAAUGGAGCACCAGUGAGGGUCAGGGUCCCUUCUGUCAUCUGUCAUCCCUUGUAGACGGUUUGCCCAUUGAGAGUCGUGUUCUUCUGGAAUAGAGCGCUAAGUGGGUGGUACUCUUUGCCUAAGGAGCAUUACAUCCUUGAGACCAAUAGUGAACAAGUACCAUGAGGGAAGGGUGAAAAGGACUUUGGAAAGAGGGUUAAGAGGACAUGAAGCUGCUGGAAGGGAAGUGGAUUGGACUUUUGUCUGUGGUAAGAUUGCAGGGUGCAACUCUCACUUGUGAGGAUUUGCACUUUGUGUGUCUUACUACUCGGUUGGGCUUUGUGUGGUGUCCAGAACCUCAGCUUGGAAUGGCUGGAAGGUUGCGGCCUGACCCAUCUCCUUGCUUCCUGUUGGCACAACAUAACUGCUCCACCAAAUAGUUCAAUUUUACCCGUCUUGAAACACGGACCAAGGAGUCUAAUGCGUGUGCGAGUGUAAGGGAUUAAUACCUGACAGCUCAACAAAGGUGACUGCUGGGAUUCUUGCACCAGCAACCAACUGAUCACUUGGGAGAUGUUUGUGUGUGAGCAUACUUGCUAGGACCCGAAAGGUGGUGAACUAUGCCUGAGAAGGGUGACGUCAGGGGAAACUCUGAUGGAAGCUCGUAGCGCUACUGACGUGCAAAUCGUUCGUCCGACUUGGGUAUAG
rnacentral:rRNA from 1 species